AGGCUUGUAGCUCAGGUGGUUAGAGCGCACCCCUGAUAAGGGUGAGGUCGGUGGUUCAAGUCCACUCAGGCCU
rnacentral:tRNA from 39 species